AUUGAACGCUGGCGGCAGGCCUAACACAUGCAAGUCGAGCGAGCGGCGGACGGGUGAGUAAUGUCUGGGAAACUGCCUGAUGGAGGGGGAUAACUACUGGAAACGGUAGCUAAUACCGCAUACCAUCAGAUGUGCCCAGAUGGGAUUAGCUAGUAGGUGGGGUAACGGCUCACCUAGGCGACGAUCCCUAGCUGGUCUGCGAGGAUGACCAGCCACACUGGAACUGAGAAACGGUCCAUAGUCCGACGUGAGGCAGCAGUGGGGAAUAAUGCACAAUGGGAGCAAGCCUGAUGCAGCGAUGCCGCGUGUGUGAAGAAGGCCUUCGGGUUGAAAAGCACUUGCAGCGGGGAGGCGUUACCCGCAGAAGAGGCACCGGCUAACUCCGUGUCAGCCGCCGCGGUAAUUC
rnacentral:rRNA from 1 species